rnacentral:lncRNA from 1 species
GUCCAGCUUGUCGACCGUCAGAGAGUCCUUUGAUUCAUUUCUUUGAGUAGAGAUUUGGAAGCACUGUCGAGUGAGUUGUUGAUCCCCGCGCAUCUCCUCGGCCCCAUUUUUAGUUGGAAACUGGACCAGCAAGUGGUAUGUCGAGACUAUCACCCUGAGGGCAUUUAGUCCGGGUCUUCCAAGUAUGGCAUUGUAGGCCGAAGGUACUUGGACGACCGUGAAUAUCAUGUGGAUGGUGCUUUAUCGUGGUUCGGUCUCAGUUGUCA